UUAAACCCUAGUGACAACAACUGUGGUUUUCCGGCCACGCGAAAAAAAAAAUACAUAUCCACUGUUCAAGCAAAUGUUCAUCAGAUCAAACCAUCGGUUCAUCAGCCGAGCAAAACAAGCACUGCGCUUCAUUCUGUUACCACCUCUACUUUCCAUCAAGCUCGCAACUGUGUUUGACAGCAGGUGGGCAGCAUAGGAAACUUGCAUUUUGGCGAAACUUUUUGCAAAAAGGGAGCAUUAGCAAUUUGCAGCACCAUAGUUCAUCUGUUUCGAACAACUGUGGAACCCGGCAGAAAUGUUCCCAAAGUAUAAAAUUGUCGCUAUAUUUUUUAGUCUAGCACCAUUUGGACGACUUGAUCUUACGACCUUACGUUAUUACAUGCGGUUUUAAGCAAGUAGAGAGGAUCAGAUAUUUAGAAAGUUGAAAGCUCUGGUUGGUAAAUACUUGUAGGGAAUAUCUAAAUCCAGGUUGUUUAGCAGAGAAAACAAUUUUCUGUUAGAAGCUGCACCAUCUGCAACAAGUGCUAUUAUUGUAAAAUCACAAUCGGCAAUUGCUGGAACUGCUUCCCAAAACAUGCUGGCCAAUUCAUAUGCUUUGGUGUUGUGGGUGGAAAAAAAAAGCAAGUGGUCUGGAGAACUGACUCGUGAUGGAUCUAACAUAUAGCUGAAGCACAUGGGAUGCAGCUAUCGUUUGCAUUUUUCUUUCAGCCCCAAGAUCAACGAAUCCAACCAUGGAGUCGGUGGUGGCAUCAUACACAAUAUUUUCCUUAACUAGACAUUACAAGAUGAGACUGCAGUUUUACAGCCUCUAACUCGUGCAACACAUGCUGUUGGAUACCAGAAAGGUUACUAGCCUUGGUCAUGUAAUGACACACCCCGUAUUUAAGUCACCCGGCGGGCCACUACAAGAUCUGUACUGAAAUACAGAUUUCAAGGCUUCUGCAAGAGGUUGAUGUUGAACAUCUAACUGUAUACAAUCUGGAGCACCCCAACUAUAAAAGGAAGCCAAAACCCUGAAAUCCUUGAAGAUUUUCAAAUGAAGUUUUGGUUGGUCAUCACCAUCUUCAAAAAAUAAAUUAAUGUUCUCGCUAUUUUCAAUUUUAGUCCAGCCAAGUGGAAGAGGUGUUUGAGUCAGUGAAUUAAAAGUUUCAAAGUAUGGUGGUGAUCUUGGUUUUGGGGGUGGUCUAAUUGACUUGUAGCCACUAAAGCUACCAUGUUUCGGUGGGAGACUCAAUGUUGGUAUUGCUCCGAUACCAAGUUUUUUUCGUGUACCUUCUAUAAAUCAUGAAAUGAGUACUUUGCAAAAAUUGAAAAUUAAUAAAAAGAUUUACUGUUUAUUAUGUCAGA